GCACUAGUGGUCUAGUGGUAGAAUAGUACCCUGCCACGGUACAGAUCCGAGUUCAAUUAUCAGUUGGUGCA
rnacentral:tRNA from 1 species